UGCUAGGGAAGACAUCUCUAGAAAACAGAGAUGGACGGAGAAGACAGUUCCUGCUCUCAAAGAUCCUGCCACCUAAGUGGGAGAGGCGCUCAGAAAUAGGAAACAAGCACAAACUCUGGAUCCCAGCUGGGCCUCUGGCUCCUGUGUGACCCUGGAGGAGUCACUUAGCUCCGUGCCAGCACCGAGGAAAAGAAAUUGGGAUGUUUGGGUUUCACCCACUUAGUGGAAAGGGUAUUCUCAGCCUCGAUUGCAUGGAAGCUUUCUGGAACCUGGGGCAGAGGCAGGGGGAGGAAGGAGGCAGGCUGGGCUGGGCCACUCCGGGUGGGUCUCCAGGAAUGGCUGCCUCUCCCCAGGGACCCCUGAGGCUUGGGCUCAGCCCUGCCUAUCAAUUGUCCAUCCUGGAAAUAACAGGUCCCCAGUUUUCAGAUUCACACACAGUUGGUCCAGGAGUCAGAUGCCAGCUUGUGUCUAUAUAAUGCAGUGAGAGAGCCUCCCAAAACCUUUGCCCCUUCUCUCCAUCCUGGCCACCACCUAGGCCACUACUGCCCCUCACCUGGACCUCCUCAGCAGCAUGGGGCCUGACCCCUGGUUGAGCGCCACAGAGCCCUUGUCUAUUGAAUGAAUGAGCCCCCUUAUCUGGUCUCCUCUCCCUGGCCAUUGCUUCAACCAGCAGGCUGGAGCCAGACUCAAAUCUGACCCCUUGUAGCUCCUGCUUCAUUUUUCCUUUUUUUUGGACCACACCACACAGCAUGUGGGAUCUUAGUUCCCUGACCCAGAACCGAACCCAUGCCCCCUGCAUUGGAAACCAAUCCUGGAGUCUUAACCACUGGACCAGGAGGAAAGUCCCUAUCUCCAGCUUUAAACCCCUCGGGGCUCCCAUUGCCCUUCCUGGCACCGCCUCCCUCUCCAGUUUCACCUGUCCCCGUCCAUGUCUCUGGGCCUCAGACAUGGCGAAAUUUCUCAAAGGAGCCAGGCCACCCUGUUUAACCCUGCCACGUCCUCCAUGUUCGUUGUUCAGUUGUGUCUGACUUUUUGCAACCCCACGGACUGUAGCCCGCCAGCCUCCUCUGUCCAUGGCAUUCUCCAGGCGUGGCAACCCAUUCCAGUAUUCUUGCCUGGAGGAUCCCAUGGACAGAGAAGCCUGGCAGGCUAUAGUCCACAGGGUCAUACAGAGUCGGACACAACUGAAACGACUUAGCACUAACAGUCCUCUGUUUGGGGUGCCCUUCAUCUCUCAGGGAUGCGUUCUAAGACUUAUGGGAUUAAAGGUAGAUCUCAGCUUCUCCCAGAAGAGUUCCACCGUUACUGGCCCCCACCCCCGCCCCCUCCGCUCUUGGAUCCUGGGUCAGAUGUCCCUCCCCUGAGCCCAGGGCCCCUCCUUCAGCAAGCUGGCUGCUUCAAUGCUGUUCAAACUGCCUGUCUCCUGUUCUGCAGACUCCAAGAGAUGAAGGAGUGGCUUGUUCACCUUGGAUCCAAACCACAAGCUGACCUGCUUGGAAAAGGGCUCAGCUUUUCGGAGUUUACUGAGUCGAGAGUGAGGGAACCAGAAUCCUGGACCCUCCCAUUGUUAACAGUCCCUCUUUUCCCCGGCCAGAGGCCAAAUCAGGAGGUGAGGCUGAUUCCACGAGGGCGAGUCCCUGCAAAGCUGGGUGGAUGAACCUGAGGGACCUUGUCACAAGCUCUGUUGGCCUGGAGAGCAAGGCCUAAGAACAGAACUGGAAGAUGUUGGAAGAAGUAGCAGAGCAGGAGAGGGAGAUGAAGAUGGGAAGGGGCACAGGGCAGGCCUUCCGUGGUGGGCCAGGGAGUUCACCCGCCAGUGCAGCAGGGGACACCGGUUCACCACCUGCUCUGAGAAGAUCCCGCGUGCCUCUGGGCAACUAAGCCCAUGCACCAAAGCUACCAAACCUGUGCACCCUUGAACCUCCCAAACAAGAGAAGCCAUUGCAAUGAAAAGGCCGCGUACCACACCAGAAGUAGGCUGUGUGCUGCAGCAAAGACCCAGCGCACCCAAAACUAAAUUAAAAAAAAAACUUUUUUUAAAGAGCACAAGAUAAGGGGGCAUGGUUGAGCUAGUCUCACUGCAGGCAGUUGGGGCUGGAUCCUGCUGGGACCCCCACCCCCCCGAAGAGCUUGUCCUAUACACCUCAGAAUUGUCCCUCUAAAGGACCAGAGACCUGUGUUUAUCCACCAGUUCCCAACCUUGUUGGUUAUGAAUGGCCCCAAGGACCUAAGUAAAUGUAAAAGCUUUUGCAGGACGAAGGAAACUAUAAGCAAGGUGAAAAGACAACCCUCAGAGUGGGAGGAAAUAAUAGCAAACAAAAUAACAUGACAAAGAAUUAACCCCCAAAAUAUACAAGCAACUCAUGCAACUCAAUACCAGAAAAACAAACAACCCAACUGAAAAGUGUGCAGAAGACCUAAACAGACAUUUCUCCGAAGAAAACAUAUAGAUGG
ensembl:lncRNA